rnacentral:rRNA from 1 species
GUAGGGGUGAAAGGCCAAUCAAACUCCGUGAUAGCUGGUUCUCCCCGAAAUGCAUUUAGGUGCAGCGUCGCAUUGUGUGCUUGUUGGAGGUAGAGCUACUGGUUGGUUGAGCGGGACGAUAAUCUUAGCAACAUCAGCUAAACUCCGAAUGCCAGCAAUGUGGGUGCGGCAGUGAGACUGCGGGGGAUAAGCUCCGUUGGUCGAGAGGGAAACAGCCCAGAUCGUCGGUUAAGGCCCCUAAGGGGGUGCUCAGUGGGAAAGGAUGUGGGAUCGCGAAGACAGCCAGGAGGUUGGCUUAGAAGCAGCCAUCCUUGAAAGAGUGCGUAAUAGCUCACUGGUCGAGUGGUUCUGCGCCGAUAAUGUAGCGGGGCUUAAGUACACCGCCGAAACCGCGGCAACACACGUGAAAGUGUGUUGGGUAGGGGAGCGUCGUGCAUGUGUUGAAGCUAUUUGGUGACAGGUGGUGGAGUGUGUGCGAGUGAGAAUGCAGGCAUGAGUAACGAUUGAUGUGUGAGAAACAUAUCCGCCGGAUGACUAAGGGUUCCUGGGUGAAGUUUGUCUUCCCAGGGUGAGUCGGGGCCUAAGGCGAGGCCGACAGGCGUAGUCGAUGGAUGACGGGUUGAUAUUCCCGUACCCGUGUGCGUGCGACAAGUGAUGAAUCUUAUGGUACUAACCGCCCGCCUACGUGCACUGGUCUUUUUGGUUGGUGUGUGUGGGUGCGUGGGAUCUUCGUGGGUAGUAGUCAAGUGAUGGGGUGACGCAGAGUGGUAGCUAGGCUUCCUUAUUGGAUUGGAGUGCAAGCGUGUGGCCUGUGGGGUUGGGAAAUCCGCCCCACAUAUAAAGGUGAGGCGUGAUGCGGACACCAUGUUGUGGUGGUAGUUAGUGUGCCUGUGCUGUCUAGAAAAGCCUCUAGCGAGUGCGUGCAUGGCCCGUACCGGAAACCGACACAGGUGGUCAGGUAGAGAAUACUAAGGCGUUCGGGUGAACUGUGGUUAAGGAACUCGGCAAAAUGCCCCCGUAACUUCGGGAGAAGGGGGACCAUUACUGGUUGCUGACAGCAAGAAAGCUGGUGGUGGUCGCAGAGGAGAGAGGGAAGCGACUGUUUAUUAAAAACACAGGUCCGUGCGAAAACGUGGAAGUUGAGGUAUACGGACUGACGCCUGCCCGGUGCUGGAAGGUUAAGAGGACCCGUGAGCACGCCUUAUGUGUGCGAGGCGGAGAAUUGAAGCCCCAGUAAACGGCGGUGGUAACUAUAACCAUCCUAAGGUAGCGAAAUUCCUUGUCGGGUAAGUUCCGACCUGCACGAAUGGCGUAACGACUUCCCUGCUGUCUCAACCACAGGCCCGGUGAAAUUGCAGUACGAGUAAAGAUGCUCGUUUCGCGCGGCAGGACGAAAAGACCCCGGGACCUUUACUAUAGCUUGGUAUUGGUGUUUGGUCAUGCUUGUGUAGGAUAGGUGGGAGACUGUGAAGCCGCAACGCUAGUUGUGGUGGAGUCGCAGGUGAAAUACCACUCUGGUGUGAUUGGGUACCUGAACCUUGGCCCGUGAUCCGGGUUGGGGACAGUGCCUGGUGGGUAGUUUAACUGGGGCGGUUGCCUCCUAAAUGGUAACGGAGGCGCCCAAAGGUUUCCUCAGUCUGGUUGGCAAUCAGAUGGUGAGUGUAAGUGUAUAAGGGAGCUUGACUGUGACACUGACGGGUGGAGCAGGUGCGAAAGCAGGGACUAGUGAUCCGGCAUCUACGUGUGGUUGUGGUGUCGCUCAACGGAUAAAAGGUACCCCGGGGAUAACAGGCUGAUCUUCCCCAAGAGUUCAUAUCGACGGGAUGGUUUGGCACCUCGAUGUCGGCUCGUCGCAUCCUGGGGCUGGAGUAGGUCCCAAGGGUUGGGCUGUUCGCCCAUUAAAGCGGCACGCGAGCUGGGUUUAGAACGUCGUGAGACAGUUCGGUCUCUAUCCGCCGCGCGCGUUGAAACUUGAAGAAGGCUGUCCCUAGUACGAGAGGACCGGGAUGGACGUACCUCUGGUAUGCCAGUUGUCACGCCAGUGGCAUGGCUGGUUAGCUACGUGCGGGAGGGAUAACCGCUGAAAGCAUCUAAGCGGGAAGCCUGU